rnacentral:rRNA from 1 species
GAUGAACGCUGGCGGCAUGCCUAAUACAUGCAAGUCGGACGGGCAGUGGUGUUUCUUGCGGCGGACGGGUUAGCAACGCGCAAGAACCUGCCCCUGGGAGGGGAACAAUAGCUGGCAAGGGUAGCUAAUACACCGCAGGCCUAGUAGCAAAUGGAGUAAUCCACCCGAGGAGGGGCUCGCGACUGAUUAACUAGUUGUUGCUGCUAUAGCUUACCAAGGCGAUUUACAGUAGUUGGUGCGAGAGGACGAUCGGCCACACUGGGACGGAGACACGCCGCAGGCACCUACGGGAGGCGGGCGAAAGGAAUAUUCCGCAAUGGGCGGAAGGUGAACAAGGCCAUGCGGCGUGAAGGUAGAGGGCCUACGGAUCGAGAACUUCGUUUGCCGGAGAAGAAGCAAUGACGGUAUCUGGGGAAUAAGCAACGGCUAACUCUGUG